rnacentral:rRNA from 1 species
UGCAGUCGCACGGGCAUUUUCGGAUGUCAGUGGCGGACGGGUGAGUAACGCGUAGGAACAUGUCCAGGGGUGGGGGAUAACGCUGGGAAACUGGCGCUAAUACCGCAUGUGAGCUGAGGCUCAAAGCCGCGAGGCGCCUUUGGAGUGGCCUGCGUCCGAUUAGCUUGUUGGUGGGGUAAUGGCUUACCAAGGCGACGAUCGGUAGCUGGUCUGAGAGGACGACCAGCCACACUGGGACUGAGACACGGCCCAGACUCCUACGGGAGGCAGCAGUGGGGAAUAUUGGACAAUGGGCGCAAGCCUGAUCCAGCAAUGCCGCGUGGGUGAAGAAGGUCUUCGGAUCGUAAAGCCCUUUCGACGGGGACGAUGAUGACGGUACCCGUAGAAGAAGCCCCGGCUAACUUC